AUACGGAGGAUCCGAGCGUUAUCCGGAUUUAUUGGGUUUAAAGGGAGCGUAGGCGGACGCUUAAGUCAGUUGUGAAAGUUUGCGGCUCAACCGUAAAAUUGCAGUUGAUACUGGGUGUCUUGAGUACAGUAGAGGCAGGCGGAAUUCGUGGUGUAGCGGUGAAAUGCUUAGAUAUCACGAAGAACUCCGAUUGCGAAGGCAGCCUGCUGGACUGUAACUGACGCUGAUGCUCGAAAGUGUGGGUAUCAAACAGGAUUAGAUACCCUGGUAGUCCACACAGUAAACGAUGAAUACUCGCUGUUUGCGAUAUACAAUAAGCGGCCAAGCGAAAGCGUUAAGUAUUCCACCUGGGGAGUACGCCGGCAACGGUGAAACUCAAAUGAAUUGACGGGG
rnacentral:rRNA from 1 species